GUAGUCGUGGCCGAGUGGUUAAGCCGAUGGACUAUAAAUCCAUUGGCCUCUGCCCGCGCAGUUUCGAAUCCUGCCGACUACG
rnacentral:tRNA from 1 species